UUUGUUUUUGUGUCUUCUAUUGCUUUACAUUGGCCAAACAUGUGGUAUAAGCCUCGAAAUAGUGCAAAGAGACGAGCUGCAUCGUAAGGAAAGGUCCAAGAACAUUCACACUGGGACAAUUACUUUCGGCACAGGGAAUAUUUCACUGGGUCAAAAUCUGGAAUAUGAGGGACGAUCUGUUGGAGAAAACACUGCAGACGAUGGCUCCGUUAACUUUCAAGCAGACGAUCCACAUCCUGGCCUGGUGGGUGGACAAAGCACCACUGAAGACUUUAAGGCUUGGCAUCGUAUGCAACCAAAUUUAUUAUGUACUAAUGACCUCAUGGAGUUCUCUGCAAAAGGCCCUGGAUGUUCUUCACUCCAGUUAGACAGAGGUGGCACGCCUCUCUCACUAAGCCAGCUACCAGGAGACUGUGGCUACUCUGUGAAAAGGACUGCAGUGGGCCUUGUGUUUGUCGCCCCAUUUGAUGGUUGUGAUGUUAUAAAACAGGGAAAUAGCCACUUGCUGCAGAUGUUGUGGCACGACAAUCCAGUAACCCUCUCCUGCCCGGCAUCAAGCUCAGACCAAGUCUCUCCAGUUUUAUCCACUACUCCAGCUCCAACUACAGUAGCACCUACCACAGCUGCCGGGCUUCCUCCACAGAAUCAACAGUGGAUGCCCCCCUUCUUUGGAGGCUACUACCCUGUAAUGCCUGUGGAGACUCCCUCUGAAACUACUGUUG